rnacentral:rRNA from 1 species
CAGUAGCCGCGGUAAUACGUAGGGGGCAAGCGUUGUCCGGAAUUAUUGGGCGUAAAGCGCGCGCAGGCGGUCAUUUAAGUCUGGUGUUUAAUCCCGGGGCUCAACCCCGGAUCGCACUGGAAACUGGGUGACUUGAGUGCAGAAGAGGAGAGUGGAAUUCCACGUGUAGCGGUGAAAUGCGUAGAUAUGUGGAGGAACACCAGUGGCGAAGGCGACUCUCUGGGCUGUAACUGACGCUGAGGCGCGAAAGCGUGGGGAGCAAACAGGAUUAGAGACCCCCGUAGUCCCUGUCUCUUAUACA